rnacentral:rRNA from 1 species
UACGUAGGGGGCAAGCGUUGUCCGGAAUCAUUGGGCGUAAAGAGCGCGCAGGCGGUCGUGCAAGUCGCGUGUGAAAGCCCCCGGCUCAACUGGGGAGGGUCACGCGAUACUGCUCGACUUGAAGGCAGGAGAGGGAAGUGGAAUUCCCGGUGUAGUGGUGAAAUGCGUAGAUGUCGGGAGGAACACCAGUGGCGAAGGCGACUUCCUGGCCUGUUCUUGACGCUGAGGCGCGAAAGCGUGGGGAGCAAACAGG